rnacentral:lncRNA from 1 species
UGCCAGUAUUGAACAGAAAUAUACAGCAGAGAAGGUUUUUGAUAUCCUGAAGGUGAUUUGCCAAUAUUUUUCUCAUUUUCUUCCUUUUUCUUUUUCCACUUGACAUCUUUAGCUUCAAGCUUGCUCUCGACUUGGUUCCUGUUAUUUAAAUGAUGAACGUUUUUGAGUUCAGUUAUAUGUUAGACCAUUGGGUUUGUUCUCAUAAAAAAUUUUCAACCAGUUAUAGGUCUCCAAUGCAGAUGCUGUUUUUUCUUGUAGAAUUAUAGAUUACCUAAAGAUUUCCUUUUUGGAAUGUUUCUAGGGAAAAUUAUUGUAAUCCUAGGAGAAAUAAACAAAGGUUUUUAAUUUAAUUAAUUUAUUUAAUACUAUUCUUUUUAUCUUUCUUGUCCAAAAUUAAUAUGACUGCUUUUAGAUUCAAAGUAUAAUUUAGGUCCUGCUUAUUAUAACCACUCCGUUUUUUGCUUUUGAAAAUUAAGGUUAUUUUCUUACCUAAAAUACAUAAUUUUUAAGUACAAGAGUUCACCAAAUUCCAAAAUCAAAAACAAGUUUUAAAACAACUAAUAUAUAUUUUUUUUUGUUAGUUUUCAAAAAUUGUCUUGGGUUUUAAAACACUCCUAAAAUGUAGUAAAAAAACUUGGAAACUAAUAAAUGAAGGUGAAAUUUAUUUUCAAAAGCCAAAAACCAAAUGAGACCUUAGUUACUGGUUUUGCUUGUCAUGACUGUUAUUUUACCGUGUAAUCUAUUUUACACCGAAACAGGAAGCAUGGAAUAAAUUCAGCAAAGAGGAGCUUUAGGCACACCUAGGAUGAUUGUUUUCUUCAACCAUCAUGUCAGCUGCAAAGUAUGAAUGUCCUAAUCAGGGAGAGACGACUUGAAUAGCAUGGCAAGAGUCUGUCUGCUUUCUGCAGGUGAGUUUUGAGGCCAUCUGGCGGCCGAUAUCAUGUUCAACAUGUUUUCAGAGAAAGGUCUAAAAGGUCGUUAGUGUUUGGCAUUGGGGUAAAUUGGUAAUACCAGAAAAUGUAUUCCAUAGGCAAGUAUAGUUUCAUACUCAAAUAAUGUUGUGGUUUAUAUGGUUUCACCAUAAAGAGUGCUGAUAGUUCUUCAAAUUUGCAGAUUCAUUGAGCUUUUGUAGAGUCGUUUCCCCUUCUAUAUAUCUCCUUUCUUUCCCCUGGAAGGAAGUUGAAAUACA